rnacentral:rRNA from 1 species
GACGAACGCUGGCGGCGUGCCUAAUACAUGCAAGUAGAACGCUGAAGGAGGAGCUUGCUUCUCUGGAUGAGUUGCGAACGGGUGAGUAACGCGUAGGUAACCUGCCUGGUAGCGGGGGAUAACUAUUGGAAACGAUAGCUAAUACCGCAUAAGAGUAGAUGUUGCAUGACAUUUGCUUAAAAGGUGCAAUUGCAUCACUACCAGAUGGACCUGCGUUGUAUUAGCUAGUUGGUGGGGUAACGGCUCACCAAGGCGACGAUACAUAGCCGACCUGAGAGGGUGAUCGGCCACACUGGGACUGAGACACGGCCCAGGCUCCUACGGGAGGCAGCAGUAGGGAAUCUUCGGCAAUGGACGGAAGUCUGACCGAGCAACGCCGCGUGAGUGAAGAAGGUUUUCGGAUCGUAAAGCUCUGUUGUAAGAGGAGAACGAGUGUGAGAGUGGAAAGUUCACACUGUGACGGUAUCUUACCAGAAAGGGACGGCUAACUACGUG